UGCCAGCCGCCGCGGUAAUACGGAGGAUCCAAGCGUUAUCCGGAAUUAUUGGGUUUAAAGGGUCCGUAGGUGGUUAUUUAAGUCAGAGGUGAAAUCCUGCCGCUUAACGGCAGAACUGCCUUUGAUACUGAUUAACUUGAGUUAUUGUGAAGUAGUUAGAAUAUGUAGUGUAGCGGUGAAAUGCAUAGAUAUUACAUAGAAUACCGAUUGCGAAGGCAGAUUACUAACAAUAUACUGACACUGAGGGACGAAAGCGUGGGUAGCGAACAGGAUUAGAUA
rnacentral:rRNA from 1 species